rnacentral:rRNA from 1 species
AGCAGCCGCGGUAAUUCCAGCUCCAAUAGCGUAUAUUAAAGUUGUUGCAGUUAAAAAGCUCGUAGUUGAAUUUCGGGAUCAAUUUAUCGGUCGUGCCAAUGGUAUGAACUGGUACAAUUGGUUUCUCCCUUCUGACGAAGCAUGAUGUCAUUAAUUUGGUGUCGUGGGGAAUCAGGACUGUUACUUUGAAAAAAUUAGAGUGUUUAAAGCAAGCAUUAGCUUGAAUACAUUAGCAUGGAAUAAUGAAAUAGGACGUUUGAUCCUAUUUCGUUGGUUUCUAGGAUCGACGUAAUGAUUAAUAGGGAUAGUUGGGGGCAUUAGUAUUCAAUUGUCAGAGGUGAAGUUCUUGGAUUUAUUGAAGACUAACUACUGCGAAAGCAUUUGCCAAGGAUGUUUUCAUUAAUCAAGAACGAAAGUUAGGGGAUCGAAGACGAUCAGAUACCGUCGUAGUCUUAACCAUAAACUAUGCCGACUAGGGAUCGGAUGAUGUUAAUUUUUUAAUGACUCA